UGGAGCUGGAGGAGAGUGGAUGGUGCUGGGACUCCACCAGGACAAGGUCCUGAGAUGAUCAAGCUGCCAGGAGGUGCAGCUAAGCUUGUCAGGUGGCAUUGCAUGCGGAUCUUCUCCUUGAUUGACUGUGCCACACACCCAGUAAGGAGAAAGCAGUGCAAAGCAGCCCACUGAAGCACCUACGGAGGGAUUCUCGUUGUGAUACAGAGUUGGUUGGUACGGCUGGCCUUACCUCUCCAAUCCAGAAUAGAGGGUG